UACAGAGAGUGCAAACGUUGUUCGGAAUUACUGGGCUUAAAGCGCACGUAGGCGGUGUCGUAAGUGUCAGGUGAAAUCCCACGGCUCACCCGUGGAACUGCCUGGCAUACUGCGAUACUCGAGUGUGGUAGGGGAGAGCGGAACUCCUGGUGGAGCGGUGAAAUGCGUAGAUAUCAGGAGGAACACCGGUGGCGAAGGCGGCUCUCUGGUCCACAACUGACGCUGAGGUGCGAAAGCUAGGGGAGCGAACGGG
rnacentral:rRNA from 1 species